GCUACGCCAGCCACUGUGUCCGC
rnacentral:piRNA from 1 species